rnacentral:rRNA from 1 species
GGAUUUGUCAGUUGGUCGGGCUUCACUGUCCGUAUUGACUCGAUGGAUUCUUACCUUCUGAAUAAUUAGCAUGCUAUUAAGUUAGUGCGUUGAAAAAAUUAGUGCUUAAAGCGAGCUAGUGCUUGAAUAGAUUAGCAUGGAAUAAUAAAAUAGGACGGCAUGGUUCUAUUUUAUUGGUUUCUAGGAUCACCGUA